UGUACAAAGGUAGCAUAAUCAUUUGUCUCUUAAUUGGAGUCUGGUAUGAAUGGUUGGAUGAAAAAUUUACUUUCUUUUUUUUAUAAAAAAAAAUUGAUUUUUAAGUUAAAAAGCUUAAAUAAUUAUAGAGGACGAGAAGACCCUAUAGAACUUUAUCUUAAAAUAAUUUGUUUAAUUUUAGUUAAUUAUAUUUUUUAAAUUAUUUUAAAAUUUUAUUGGGGUGAUAAAAAAAAUUUAAUAACUUUUUUUAAUUAAUUCAUUAAUUAAUGAUUUUUUUGAUCCUUUAUUAUGGAUAAUAAGUUUAAGUUACCUUAGGGAUAACAGCGUUAUUAUUUUAGAGAGUUCAUAUCUAUAAAAUAGUUUGCGACCUCGAUGUUGGAUUAAAAUAAGUUUCAGGAGUAGAAAAUUGAAUACUAGGUCUGUUCGACCUUUAAAUUUUUACAUGAUCUGAGUUCAAACCGGAGA
rnacentral:rRNA from 1 species